rnacentral:rRNA from 1 species
UACGUAGGGGGCAAGCGUUGUCCGGAAUCAUUGGGCGUAAAGCGCGUGUAGGCGGCUCGAUAAGUCUGCUGUGAAAGUCCAGGCUCAACCCUGGGAUGCCGGUGGAUACUGUCGAGCUCGAGUCCGGAAGAGGCGAGUGGAAUUCCUGGUGUAGCGGUGAAAUGCGCAGAUAUCAGGAGGAACACCGAUGGCGAAGGCAGCUCGCUGGGACGU